UGUGGCUAUGGGCUCACUCUCCCACAAGAAAUAGAGCUUCUCUGUCUCACAUAGAGCUUUUCAAUCCUGAGGAAGCACCUGACUGUCCAGGUUUGGGUCACCAACCCUCCCCUUGGACCGGUCCCUGUGGCAGAGAAGAGGUUUUGUGAUUAACCAGCCUGGGUCAUUGGCCCAUCCGUAGAAGGGCAGAGGGUUCUCUUCACAGAGAAGCCAGGAGCUGGCAGCUGGAGUGAGUCCAUCUGGAUGUGAGUGUUUUGCAAGGAUUCAUUGAUUAUUUGUGGCCGUGGAUAACUUGUGCUGAGUUCAUCAAAUUAUGUCAAGGGGAUUCAUCUCUUACCUGCUAGGAAUGCCAACUAGAGUUCAACUUCAUUGCCUCACAGAUGGUAGAGUUGAGUUGGAAGAAAAUGACAUCUGAUUCUUAUAGAAGGAAAGCAAUUACAUUUUGGCGUCUGCCUUCCCCGGCUUGCAUAUGUUUUUAAACAUAAAAAGAAAUUCUUAAUAUGUAAUUGUCAGUAAUCUUGAGGAGAAUUGAAAUUGUUAUGCUACCAAGUCUUCCAGUCCAGAUGAUGGGCGACAGAAUGGCUUGCAGUGGUGCCACCUCCAGAUCUCUAAUUCUGACUUACUCAGAAGCACCUGGGCCUCCCCAUCUAACUUCCACCCACCCACCUUGCUGUUGAAGAGGCAUCUGACCAUGGAAGCCUCAGUCUGCGCAUCCCAUCAACUCAGAGUCCGGCAGGCAGAUCUUCAAGGCAGGAACCAGAGUCAGGCCCUGAGGAAGAACCGUCAGGGAGGAAGCCACAAAGAAGGCUGGCCUGGCCCACUGGACAGCCCCAGACAGAUGAGGGACAAC